rnacentral:rRNA from 1 species
UACGUAGGGUGCAAGCGUUAAUCGGAAUUACUGGGCGUAAAGCGUGCGCAGGCGGUUUUGUAAGUCUGUCGUGAAAGCCCCGGGCUCAACCUGGGAAUUGCGAUGGAGACUGCAAGGCUUGAAUCUGGCAGAGGGGGGUAGAAUUCCACGUGUAGCAGUGAAAUGCGUAGAGAUGUGGAGGAACACCGAUGGCGAAGGCAGCCCCCCUGGGUCAAGAUUGACGCUCAUGCACGAAAGCGUGGGGAGCAAGCAGG